rnacentral:tRNA from 1 species
GGGUAUGUGGCUCAAUGAUAGAGCACUUGCCUAGCAUGCAUAAGAGCCUGGGUUCCUUCCCCAGCCCA